rnacentral:rRNA from 1 species
CCUGUGACAUACCUAAAACGUUGCUUCGGCGGGAACAGACGGCCCCGUAACACGGGCCGCCCCCGCCAGAGGACCCCCUAACUCUGUUUCUAUUAUGUUUCUUCUGAGUAAAACAAGCAAAUAAAUUAAAACUUUCAACAACGGAUCUCUUGGCUCUGGCAUCGAUGAAGAACGCAGCGAAAUGCGAUAAGUAAUGUGAAUUGCAGAAUUCAGUGAAUCAUCGAAUCUUUGAACGCACAUUGCGCCCGCCAGUAUUCUGGCGGGCAUGCCUGUUCGAGCGUCAUUACAACCCUCAGGCCCCCGGGCCUGGCGUUGGGGAUCGGCGAGGCGCCCCCUGCGGGCACACGCCGUCCCCCAAAUACAGUGGCGGUCCCGCCGCAGCUUCCAUUGCGUAGUAGCUAACACCUCGCAACUGGAGAGCGGCGCGGCCACGCCGUAAAACACCCAACUUCUGAAUGUUGACCUCGAAUCAGGUAGGAAUACCCGCUGAACUUAAGCAUAUCAA